rnacentral:rRNA from 1 species
GACGUAGGGUGCGAGCGUUGUCCGGAUUUAUUGGGCGUAAAGAGCUCGUAGGCGGCUCGUCGCGUCGACCGUGAAAACCCGCGGCUUAACUGCGGGCUUGCGGUUGAUACGGGCGGGCUAGAGUUCGGUAGGGGAGACUGGAAUUCCUGGUGUAGCGGUGAAAUGCGUAGAUAUCGAGAGGAACACCUGCGGCGAAGGCGGGUUGCUGGGCUGACACUGACGCUGAGGCGCGAAAGCCAGGGGAGCGAACGGG